rnacentral:rRNA from 1 species
AAAUUGAAGAGUUUGAUCAUGGCUCAGAUUGAACGCUGGCGGCAGGCCUAACACAUGCAAGUCGAGCGGUAGCACAGAGAGCUUGCUCUCGGGUGACGAGCGGCGGACGGGUGAGUAAUGUCUGGGAAACUGCCUGAUGGAGGGGGAUAACUACUGGAAACGGUAGCUAAUACCGCAUAACGUCGCAAGACCAAAGUGGGGGACCUUCGGGCCUCAUGCCAUCAGAUGUGCCCAGAUGGGAUUAGCUAGUAGGUGGGGUAACGGCUCACCUAGGCGACGAUCCGCUAGCUGGUCCUGAGAGGAUGACCAGCCACACUGGAACUGAGACACGGUCCAGACUCCUACGGGAGGCAAGCAGUGGGGAAUAUUGCACCAAUGGGCGCAAGCCUGAAUGCAGCCAUGCCGCGUGUGUGAAGAAGGCCUUCGGUUGUAAAGCACUUUCAGCGGGGAGGAAGGCGAUAAGGUUAAUAACCUUGUCGAUUGACGUUACCCGCAGAAGAAGCACCGGCUAACUCCGUGCCAGCAGCCGCGGUAAUACGGAGGGUGCAAGCGUUAAUCGGAAUUACUGGGCGUAAAGCGCACGCAGGCGGUCUGUCAAGUCGGAUGUGAAAUCCCCGGGCUCAACCUGGGAACUGCAUUCGAAACUGGCAGGCUAGAGUCUUGUAGAGGGGGGUAGAAUUCCAGGUGUAGCGGUGAAAUGCGUAGAGAUCUGGAGGAAUACCGGUGGCGAAGGCGGCCCCCUGGACAAAGACUGACGCUCAGGUGCGAAAGCGUGGGGAGCAAACAGGAUUAGAUACCCUGGUAGUCCACGCCGUAAACGAUGUCGAUUUGGAGGUUGUGCCCUUGAGGCGUGGCUUCCGGAGCUAACGCGUUAAAUCGACCGCCUGGGGAGUACGGCCGCAAGGUUAAAACUCAAAUGAAUUGACGGGGGCCCGCACAAGCGGUGGAGCAUGUGGUUUAAUUCGAUGCAACGCGAAGAACCUUACCUGGUCUUGACAUCCACAGAACUUUCCAGAGAUGGAUUGGUGCCUUCGGGAACUGUGAGACAGGUGCUGCAUGGCUGUCGUCAGCUCGUGUUGUGAAAUGUUGGGUUAAGUCCCGCAACGAGCGCAACCCUUAUCCUUUGUUGCCAGCGGUUAGGCCGGGAACUCAAAGGAGACUGCCAGUGAUAAACUGGAGGAAGGUGGGGAUGACGUCAAGUCAUCAUGGCCCUUACGACCAGGGCUACACACGUGCUACAAUGGCAUAUACAAAGAGAAGCGACCUCGCGAGAGCAAGCGGACCUCAUAAAGUAUGUCGUAGUCCGGAUUGGAGUCUGCAACUCGACUCCAUGAAGUCGGAAUCGCUAGUAAUCGUAGAUCAGAAUGCUACGGUGAAUACGUUCCCGGGCCUUGUACACACCGCCCGUCACACCAUGGGAGUGGGUUGCAAAAGAAGUAGGUAGCUUAACCUUCGGGAGGGCGCUUACCACUUUGUGAUUCAUGACUGGGGUGAAGUCGUAACAAGGUAACCGUAGGGGAACCUGCGGUUGGAUCACCUCCUUACCUUAAAGAA